rnacentral:rRNA from 1 species
UGUUUUUCAAAGCUAACGCAUUAAGUAGACCGCUGGGAGUACGGCCGCAAGGUUAAAACUCAAAUGAAUUGACGGGGGCCCGCACAAGCGGUGGAGCAUGUGGUUUAAUUCGAUGCAACGCGAAGAACCUUACCUACACUUGACAUACAGAGAACUUACCAGAGGUGGAUUGGUGCCUUCGGGAACUCUGAGACAGGUGCUGCAUGGCUGUCGUCAGCUCGUGUUGUGAAAUGUUGGGUUAAGUCCCGCAACGAGCGCAACCCUUAUCCUUUGUUGCCAGCGAGUAAUGUCGGGAACUCAAAGGAGACUGCCGGUGAUAAACCGGAGGAAGGUGGGGAUGACGUCAAGUCAUCAUGGCCCUUACGAGUAGGGCUACACACGUGCUACAAUGGCGUAUACAAAGGGAAGCGACCCCGCGAGGGCAAGCGGAACUCAUAAAGUACAUCGUAGUCCGGAUUGGAGUCUGCAACUCGACUCCAUGAAGUCGGAAUCGCUAGUAAUCGUAGAUCAGAAUGCUACGGUGAAUACGUUCCCGGGCCUUGUACACACCGCCCGUCACACCAUGGGAGUGGGUUGCAAAAGAAGUAGGUAGCUUAACCUCCGGGAGGGCGCUUACCACUUUGAGAUUCAAGCUCCUGGGGUGAAGUCGUAACAAG